rnacentral:rRNA from 1 species
AGAUUGAACGCUGGCGGCAUGCUUUACACAUGCAAGUCGAACGGGCUGUUGGGGCAACCUGGCAGUCAGUGGCGGACGGGUGAGUAAUGCAUCGGAACGUGUCCCGUAGUGGGGGGAUAACCCGGCGAAAGCCGGACUAAUACCGCAUAUGCUCUACGGAGGAAAGCGGGGGACCUGAAAGGGCCUCGCGCUAUGGGAGCGGCCGAUGUCCGAUUAGCUUGGUUGGUGGGGUAAUGGCCUACCAAGGCGACGAUCGGUAGCUGGUCUGAGAGGAUGAUCAGCCACACUGGGACUGAGACACGGCCAGACUCCUACGGGAGCGAGCAGUGGGAAUUUGGACGAAGUGGGGGCAACCGUGAUCCAGCCAGUGCCGCGUGCGGGAAGAGGUCCGUUACGGGUUACGUAAACCGUCGUUUAGUACGG